AUACGGAGGGUGCAAGCGUUAUUCGGAAUCACUGGGCGUAAAGGACGCGUAGGCGGGUUGGCAAGUCAGAUGUGAAAUCCUACAGCUUAACUGUAGAACUGCAUUUGAAACUACUAACCUAGAGUAUGGGAGGGGGAGAUGGAAUUAGUGGUGUAGGGGUAAAAUCCGUAGAUAUCACUAGGAAUACCGAAAGCGAAGGCGAUCUCCUGAAACAUAACUGACGCUAAGGCGUGAAAGCGUGGGGAGCAAACAGGAUUAGAAACCCUAGUAGUCC
rnacentral:rRNA from 1 species